GGAGACGUGGCCGAGUGGCUGAAGGCAACGGUUUGCUAAAUCGUCGCCCCUGUAAGGGUACCGAGGGUUCGAAUCCCUCCGUCUCCGCCA
rnacentral:tRNA from 1 species